CGGGGGGAGCAAGCGUUGUUCGGAUUUACUGGGCGUAAAGGGCGCGUAGGCGGCGCAACAAGUCACUUGUGAAAUCUCCGGGCUUAACCCGGAGCGGCCAAGUGAUACUGUCGUGCUAGAGUGCGGAAGGGGCUACUGGAAUUCUCGGUGUAGCGGUGAAAUGCGUAGAUAUCGAGAGGAACACCUGCGGCGAAGGCGGGUAGCUGGGCCGACACUGACGCUGAGGCGCGAAAGCCAGGGGAGCGGACGGGAUUAGAUACCCCGGUAGUCCUAGCCUUAAACGAUGAAUGCUUGGUGUCUGGGGUUUUAUAGUCCCCGGGUGCCGUCGCUAACGCUUUAAGCAUUCCGCCUGGGGAGUACGGUCGCAAGACUG
rnacentral:rRNA from 1 species